rnacentral:rRNA from 1 species
AGCGAACGCUGGCGGCAGGCCUAACACAUGCAAGUCGAACGAACCCUUCGGGGUUAGUGGCGGACGGGUGAGUAACACGUGGGAACGUGCCGUUAGGUUCGGAAUAACUCAGGGAAACUUGUGCUAAUACCGAGUGUGCCCUUCGGGGGAAAGAUUUAUCGCCUUUAGAGCGGCCCGCGUCUGAUUAGCUAGUUGGUGAGGUAAAGGCUCACCAAGGCUACGAUCAGUAGCUGGUCUGAGAGGAUGACCAGCCACAUUGGGACUGAGACACGGCCCAAACUCCUACGGGAGGCAGCAGUGGGGAAUCUUGCGCAAUGGGCGAAAGCCUGACGCGGCCAUGCCGCGUGGAUGAUGAAGGUCUUAGGAUUGUAAAAUCCUUUCACCGGUGAAGAUAAUGACUGUAGCCGGAGAAGAAGCCCCGGCUAACUUCGUGCCAGCCGCCGCGGUAAAAC